rnacentral:misc_RNA from 1 species
AACGGUCUAUACCUGCGGUACCUGCGGAAGGAUCAUUACAUGGCGGAGAAGGUGGGCAACCUGGCCAACAUCCAGGUUGUGAUGCCUUCACGCUCUUCCACCCUUGUCUAUUUGCACCUUCUGUCGUUCCCUCGGCGGGUUUCGACCCGCCGGCGGCAACAUUGAAAAACCCUUUUUGCAGUUAGCAUUCAAUUCUUCUGAUCAAAUAUUAAAUCAUUACAACUUUCAGCAACGGAUCUC